rnacentral:sRNA from 1 species
GCUGGGCAUGGUGGCCCAUGCCUGUAGUCCCAGUGACUCAGGAGGCUGAGACAGGAGGGUUGCAAGAUCAAGGCCAACCUCGGCCCUAAGCUGCUUGGUAAGACCAUGUCUCAA